rnacentral:rRNA from 1 species
UACGGAGGGAGCAAGCGUUAUCCGGAUUCACUGGGUUUAAAGGGUGCGUAGGUGGGUUGGUAAGUCAGUGGUGUAAUCUCCAGACUUAACUUGGAAACUGCCAUUGAUACUAUCAAUCUUGAAUACCGUGGAGGUCAGCGGAAUAUGUCAUGUAGCGGUGAAAUACUUAGAUAUGACAUAGAACACCAAUUGCGAAGGCAGCUGGCUACACGAAUAGUGACACUGAUGCACGAAAGCGUGGGGAUCAAGCAGG